AUCCAUCUGUAGUUCAUGAGUGUGAUGACUGGGUGUUCACGUGCAUGUGUGAGAUGUACCACCCUCAAGCCUUGUUACAAUGGUCGGCACAUGACCUGUCUGAUG
ensembl:snoRNA